AUUGAACGCUGGCGGAAUGCUUUACACAUGCAAGUCGAACGGUAGAGGGGGCAACCCCUCGAGAGUGGCGAACGGGUGAGUAAUAUAUCGGAACGUGCCCAGUCGUGGGGAUAACGUAGCGAAAGUUACGCUAAUACCGCAUACGAUCUAAGGAUGAAAGCGGGGGAUCGCAAGACCUCGCGCGAUUGGAGCGGCCGAUAUCAGAUUAGGUAGUUGGUGGGGUAAAGGCUCACCAAGCCAACGAUCUGUAGCUGGUCUGAGAGGACGACCAGCCACACUGGAACUGAGACACGGUCCAGACUCCUACGGGAGGCAGCAGUGGGGAAUUUUGGACAAUGGACGCAAGUCUGAUCCAGCCAUUCCGCGUGCAGGAUGAAGGCCCUCGGGUUGUAAACUGCUUUUGUACGGAACGAAAAGGUCUCUCUUAAUACGGGGGACUCAUGACGGUACCGUAAGAAUAAGCACCGGCUAACUACGUGCCAGCCGCCGUAAGAC
rnacentral:rRNA from 1 species